UCGCCUUGAGGGUAUCAUGGCAUUGAAUUCUGUGAUGCUCGACAAGUGACUCCAGAACAGCCUGGUUUCUCCACGAGGAGAACCUAACUUCCAUCUGAGUCUCCAUCUCUCACAAUCGAGACUUCAAGCAGCCAGUUAUCUUGGUGAAGUUCCUGUAGCUGGAGACCAGGAAAUUAUCCUUCAGUAACCACGAAUCCGAGAAAUGUAGAGAUUGACAGGCAAUCGGCCAGUGGCUCUCGCUGAGAUUCACAGGUUGGGUUAUCCGACCGGACUCCUGCUGAAUGCCAAUAUAAUAUCGACCUCUUGCUGUUUUCGGAUUGAAUAUUUUGUCCAUGUUUUAGAUAAAUGACAGACCAUCCGCAGGUAAUAAACUUCUAUGUCUUUUU